UCAUUUUUCCUAAAAGAGAGGAUGGACGAAGUUCAAUUUAUAAGUGACAUCAAACUCUGCAAAUACUUUUCCAUUAUACUGGAUUGCACUCCUGACAUAAGCCACACAGAUCAACUUUCAGUUGUCAUUAGGACUGUGUCAGUGGAGGACAAGCCACAAGUGAGAGAGCACUUCAUGGGCUUCCUUGAAGCUGAAGCCUCAACAGGGGAGGAGCUAUCUACUCUUGUCUUAAAGAGGCUUGAAGACCUGAACAUACCUUAUGAGGACUGCAGGGGGCAGUCCAAUGACAACGGGGCAAACAUGAAAGGCAAAAGGAAAGGUGUCCAGGCUAGAUUGCUGGCAAUAAACCCCAGAGCAUUGCAUGUGCCAUGUGAUGUGCAGCACACACCUUGAACUUGGUAGUGGCCGAUGCUGCACGAAGUUCCAAAGAUGCUAAACUAGCUAUUUUGGUUACCUACAGAAGAUAUUCACCCUGUUCUCAUCUUCCACCAACAGAUGGUGUGUCUUGAAAAACCAUGUCAAGAUCACGCUAAAGUCAUCGUCAGAGACCAGGUGGGAGAGCCGUGUUAACAGCGUAGAACCAAUUAGAUACCAGACCUCGGAGAAUUGAAAACGUCAGUAAGCUGAUGCAGUCGGUUUCCAUGCAACUGGACAUGGCAGUGGACCUGCUUGGCAAAACAUGGCUUCAUCAACAGACUAGAUGCAUGUAAGUUGUCAUUUAUUUAUUUGUAUUUUUUUUAAUAAAUAUAAGUAGGGUAAAGUGCAGAACCCUCUUACAAUGAAAGAAUAUAUUACCAUCAACCCCUAAAAUUUGACAUAGUAAUACAAAAUAUAUUAAAAAGUUUAUACAGCAACUCUUGCUUAUAUGAACAAAUAAUUUAUUCAUCCAAAGGUCCUUUGAACCAAUUUGGGAUUUACAGUCAUGUACAUUUACAAUUUACAUUUAUGCAUUUAGCAGACGCUUUAAAAGCGACUUACAGUGCAUUCAGGUUAUACAUUAUUUUAUUUUUUUUUUCAGUAUGUGUUCCCUAGGAAUUGAACCCAUGACCUUUUGCGCUACUAACACAAUGCUCUACCACUCAGCCACAGGAACACUUAUUAUUAUUUACAAUUAUUUAAUGGACACUUCUCACAUUUUUGAGGUUGUAUAUAAAUAUGGUUGGGUAAGCAUAUAGUGGUGAACUACAACUAAUUCAGCAUACAGCAACAAGUUGACUAUUAGUUUUAUUUUAUUUUCAUUUUGCAAAGUUAAUAUAGCCCAAGCUUUAUGUUGUAUGACAAUUUCAAAUAUAACCUUUUUGGUAGAUUUACCAUGCUAAUAACCGUGGAAAUGUGUCAUUAAAAUCUAUUAAAAAAAAGGGGGUUAUGGUCCUGUUUUAUCUUUGUAACAUCACAAGAUUGUAAUCACUAGUAAAAGGAAGAAUUUAUGUUAAUUUAUGUUAAUAAACUUUUAUUCUAAUGAUGUAUUCUACUGACAAUGCAUGCAAUUCAUUUUCAUUAAAACAGCCAUGUUAUAUUCAUAAAAAAAAUAAAUGACAACUUGCAUCUGGUCUGUUGAUGAAGCCAUGUCUCAGGUCACAUGUGUAUUAUGGAUCGCCUUUUCACAGGCCUCCAAUCACAACUUCCGGAAAAGGGGAAGUAUCCAAUGGCGUUAGAGAUAACAAUUAAAACAGCAAGCCCCGCUACACGACUGACAAAAAUAGAAGUGUUCGCGUGAGCAGGUGAGAGAAGAUCGAGCGCGAGGAUGUGGGGAUGAUCACGCCCGCGCGAGGGCUUGUAUUGCGCGCAGAUAUGGCAAGCCAAAAGGGUCAGAUUCACGCUAUAGAUAAAUCGCGUUAACAUACAAACGCCGUCAAAUACGGCGUUUUAAGCAGUAUUUGCGGCGCAAAAUACGCCGUUGUGAUUACAAACGCCGUAAAAACCGCGCGAAAAUACGUCAAUGGCGCCGUAUCUGCCGGCGUUUUAGUCCACAUGAAAAGCGCCGCUUUUUACAACGUUCAUAUUACCAUAUGACGCCGUAAAAAACGCCGUUUUAAUUGCACAGAGCGCUCGUCGCUUAUGGCGUUAAGCUUGUAUUAUAAUAUGCCACGCCCAUUGAUUUCCACAGCCAGUGAUAUUGAACAGUUCUCACCCAAUCAAUGAUGCACAGAACCAGACCAGAACAAUUCACCACAGAUCAUUUGUGGCAAUCCAAUUCAAUGAGUUAUUUGCCAUUAAGCAGAAAAAUCCAGUUCGCUUUAAAAUGGACAGAAGAAACUUAAUUUUGCGCUGCAAGCGAACAUUAAAUUAUUGCACUCGCCAGCUAACAGAGGAUACUGGACCAAAUAUGCUUCAGUCAACUUUGGUGAGACUGGAAACAAUGCAGAGAAGCCUUGAAUGGGUAAGAGGGAGGCUGAUCAGUGUGCCAUUUUUGCUGCAGCAGUCGGGGUUAAGGACACCUCGGCUAUGGUUAUUGAGUGUGCAAGAGUGUGUUGUACAAUCACAUGCUGUUUUGUUUUUCUUUGUUUUUCAUUCUUUUUAUUUUCCUCCAUGUUUGUGAUACCAAAACAACUGUCCAAAUCACCCACAAAACCUUUUAGUCAAAUGUUUCCACCCCCAUAUGUUCGGACCUCGAUAAUUGUCACUGAUAACUAUUGAACUCUUUUGAUUGCCAUUGUAUUAUGAUUUAAAUAUUGUAAGAUACUGUCAUUUUGAUUUAUGUUCAUGAGUGUCAUUGCAAAUGUAAACUUUAACAUUGUUAAAAUUAAAAAGCUCCUAGU